rnacentral:rRNA from 1 species
UGCCAGCCGCCGCGGUAAUACGGGGGAGGCAAGCGUUAAUCGGAUUUAUUGGGCGUAAAGGGCAAGCAGGCGGUUUUUUAAGUCGGGUGUUAAAGACCACGGCUCACCCGUGGGGGUGCGCUCGAUACUGAAAAACUUGAGUCCAUCAGAGGCAAGCGGAAUUCCGGGUGUAGCGGUGAAAUGCGUAGAUAUCCGGAGGAACACCAGUGGCGAAGGCGGCUUGCUGGGAUGGUACUGACGCUGAACUGCGAAAGCCAGGGGAGCGAACGGGAUUAGAUA